rnacentral:tRNA from 1 species
GUGAUGGUCGUCCAAAGGCAGGACGCCGCGCUGUGGCCGCGGAAAUCCAGGGUUCGAGUCCCGGCUGUCACC